rnacentral:rRNA from 1 species
CAGCAGCCGCGGUAAUACGAAGGGUGCAAGCGUUAAUCGGAAUUACUGGGCGUAAAGCGUGCGUAGGCGGCUUGGUAAGUUAGAGGUGAAAGCCUGGAGCUCAACUCCAGAAUUGCCUUUAAGACUGCCGAGCUAGCAGGUGAGAGAGGUAAGUGGAAUUCCGAGUGUAGAGGUGAAAUUCGUAGAUAUUCGGAAGAACACCAGUGGCGAAGGCGGCUUACUGGCUCAUACUGGACGCUGAGGUGCGAAAGCGUGGGGAGCAAACAGGACUAGAUACCCCGGUAGUCCCUGUCUCUUAUAU